rnacentral:rRNA from 1 species
UCAAGUGAAUAAGUGCAUACGACGGAUGCCUUGGCAUUAGAAGGCGAUGAAGGACGCGAUAAUCUGCGAUAAGCUUCGGUUAGCUGGUAAAUAAGCGUUAUACCCGGAGAUCUCCGAAUGGGAAAACCCAGCAGUCAUCAGGCUGUUAUCUUUAAGUGAAUACAUAACUUAAAGAGGCUAACCUAGGGAACUGAAACAUCUAAGUACCUAGAGGAAAAGAAAUCAACCGAGAUUCCCUUAGUAGCGGCGAGCGAACGGGGAUUAGCCCUUAAGUCUAUUUUAAAUUAGUGGAAUUUUCUGGAAAGUUGAGCGAUACAGGGUGAUAGCCCCGUACAUGAAAAUUUAAUUUAGAUGAAAUCGAGUAAGACGGCGCACGUGAAACGCUGUUUGAACAUGGGGGGACCACCCUCCAAGGCUAAAUACUCUCUAAUGACCGAUAGCGAACAAGUACCGUGAGGGAAAGGCGAAAAGAACCCCGGGAGGGGAGUGAAAUAGAACCUGAAAUCGUAUGCAUACAAGCAGUGGGAGUCAGAUGACAGAAUACAGAGGUCAGAGGACAGAGCAAGAGGACAGAGAACAGAGGUCAGAGGACAGAGUAAGAAGACAGAGGACAGAAGACAGAGGACUGACAAGUAGCGUGGUGUUGCUUUUACAGUCAUCUGUCUUCUGUCUUCUGUCCUCAGAUUCAGUCCUCCGUCUUCUGUUAUCUGUCCUCAGAUUCAGUCCUCCGUCUUUUGUAUUCUGUUAUCUGAUGACUGCGUACCUUUUGUAUAAUGGGUCAGCGACUUACUUCUCUGUUGCAAGGUUAACCAUUAGGGGAGCCGUAGGGAAACCGAGUCUUAAAUGGGCGUUUAGUAGCAGGGAGUAGACCCGAAACCGGGUGAUCUAUCCAUGGCCAGGGUGAAGGUUAGGUAAAACUAACUGGAGGCCCGAACCCACCUAUGUUGAAAAAUGGGGGGAUGAGCUGUGGAUAGGGGUGAAAGGCCAAACAAACCCGGAGAUAGCUGGUUCUCUCCGAAAUCUAUUUAGGUAGAGCGUCAUGUAUAACUUGCGGGGGUAGAGCACUGUUAUGGCUAGCGGGUCGUCAAGACUUAGCAAACCAUUGCAAACUCCGAAUACCGUAAAGUUUGAGCAUGGCAGACACACUGCGGGUGCUAACGUCCGUAGUGGAAAGGGAAACAACCCAGACCGUCAGCUAAGGUCCCAAAAUUGUAGUUAAGUGGGAAACGAUGUGAAAAGGCAAAGACAGCCAGGAGGUUGGCUUAGAAGCAGCCAUUCCUUUAAAGAGUGCGUAAUAGCUCACUGGUCGAGUCGGUUUGCGCGGAAGAUUUAACGGGGCUAAAACUACAUACCGAAGCUACGGGUCAGAGGACAGAUUACAGAGGUCUGAAGAACUGAAAACAGAUAACAGACAACAGAUAACAGAAAACAGUAAGGAGAUGAGAUGAACAAACAGAAAAUUACAGAUGUCAGUGAUUUAAAUGUAUUUAAAAAAGCCUAUCAGGUUUCUUUAGAAAUACAUAAAGUCAGUCAAAAUUUACCCAAAAAUGAACAAUUUGAAUUGGCUUCUCAAAUGAGACGAGCCAGCAAAUCAGUUUGUGCAAAUUUAGCAGAAGGUUUUGGAAAACAACAUUUUUCUAAACCAGAGUUUAAACGCUAUUUAUUAAUUGCUAUCGGUUCUGCCGAUGAAAUGCGAUUAUGGUUGCACUAUUGUUUAGAUUUAAAAUAUAUUGACAAAAUCACUGCACUAAGAUUAAAAGAUGAUUAUCAGAAUAUUGCUAAAAUGCUCACAGGUUUGCAUAAAAAUUGGCAAUAAUCAGCAAAUACAGUCAUCAGUUUUCUGUCAUCAGUCAUCUAGAUUCAGUCAUCAGUCUUUUGUCAUCUGUCCUCUGACGGUAGGAGAGCGUUCUGUAAGCCGUUGAAGGUGUGCUGAGAGGCGCACUGGAGGUAUCAGAAGUGCGAAUGCUGACAUGAGUAACGAUAAAGGGGGUGAAAAACCCCCUCGCCAGAAGUCCAAGGUUUCCUACGCAACGUUAAUCGGCGUAGGGUGAGUCGGCCCCUAAGGCGAGGCAGAAAUGCGUAGUCGAUGGGAAAUGGGUUAAUAUUCCCAUACUUCAUAUAACUGCGAUGGGAAGACGGAGAAGGUUAGCGCAGCAGGGCGAUGGUUGUCCUUGUUUAAGCGUGUAGGCUUGGUUCCUAGGUAAAUCCGGGGGCCUUUAACCCAAGGCGUGAUGACGAUCCCUCUUUUGGGAGAAGUGCGUGAUACCAUGCUUCCAGGAAAAUCCUCUAAGCUUCAGGUUAUAUGAAACCGUACCCCAAACCGACACAGGUGGACGAGAUGAGAAUUCUAAGGCGCUUGAGAGAACUCGGGUGAAGGAACUAGGCAAAAUGACACCGUAACUUCGGGAGAAGGUGUGCUCUUGCUGGUGAUUUCACUUGCUGAAUAAGCUGGUAAGAGUUGAAGAUACCAGGUGGCUGCGACUGUUUAUUAAAAACACAG